AGUGAACGCUGGCGGUAGGCCUAACACAUGCAAGUCGAACGGCAGCACAGGAGAGCUUGCUCUCUGGGUGGCGAGUGGCGGACGGGUGAGGAAUACAUCGGAAUCUACUCUGUCGUGGGGGAUAACGUAGGGAAACUUACGCUAAUACCGCAUACGGCCUACGGGUGAAAGCAGGGGAUCUUCGGACCUUGCGCGAUUGAAUGAGCCGAUGUCGGAUUAGCUAGUUGGCGGGGUAAAGGCCCACCAAGGCGACGAUCCGUAGCUGGUCUGAGAGGAUGAUCAGCCACGCUGGAACUGAGACACGGUCCAGACUCCUACGGGAGGCAGCAGUGGGGAAUAUUGGACAAUGGGCGCAAGCCUGAUCCAGCCAUACCGCGUGGGUGAAGAAGGCCUUCGGGUUGUAAAGCCCUUUUGUUGGGAAAGAAAUCCAGCUGGCUAAUACCCGGUUGGGAUGACGGUACCCAAAGAAUAAACACCGGCUAACUUCGUGCCAGCAGCCGCUGUAA
rnacentral:rRNA from 1 species